GUGCCUAACACAUGCAAGUCGAGCGAGAAAGGGGGGGCAACUCCCUGAGUAAAGCGGCGCACGGGUGAGUAACACGUGGGUAAUCUGCCCUGGAGUGGGGAAAAACAUCGGGAAACCGGUGCUAAUACCGCAUACGAUCACGAUGUCUGCGGAUGUUGUGAUGAAAGUGAGCAAUUCGCUCCAGGAGGAGCCCGCGGCUGAUUAGCUAGUUGGUGAGGUAACGGCUCACCAAGGCUACGAUCAGUAUCCGGUCUGAGAGGACGGUCGGACACACUGGAACUGAGACACGGUCCAG
rnacentral:rRNA from 1 species